rnacentral:rRNA from 1 species
UCCGUAGGUGAACCUGCGGAAGGAUCAUUACCGAGUGAGGGCCCUCUGGGUCCAACCUCCCACCCGUGUUUAUUUACCUUGUUGCUUCGGCGAGCCUGCCUUUUGGCUGCCGGGGGACGUCAGUCCCCGGGUCCGUGCUCGCCGGAGACACCUUAGAACUCUGUCUGAAGAUUGUAGUCUGAGAUUAAAUAUAAAUUAUUUAAAACUUUCAACAACGGAUCUCUUGGUUCCGGCAUCGAUGAAGAACGCAGCGAAAUGCGAUACGUAAUGUGAAUUGCAGAAUUCAGUGAAUCAUCGAGUCUUUGAACGCACAUUGCGCCCUCUGGUAUUCCGGAGGGCAUGCCUGUCCGAGCGUCAUUGCUGCCCUCAAGCACGGCUUGUGUGUUGGGCCCCGUCCUCCUUCCGGGGGACGGGUCCGAAAGGCAGCGGCGGCACCGCGUCCGGUCCUCAAGCGUAUGGGGCUUUGUCACUCGCUUUGUAGGCCUGGCCGGCGCUUGCCGAUCAACCAAACUUUUAUCAGGUUGACCUCGGAUCAGGUAGGA